UGGCCUCUCCCUGUGUCUUCACAUGGUCUUCCCUCUGUAUGUGUUUGAGUCCUAAUCUCCUUGUCUUAUAAGGACACUAGUCAUAUUGGAUUAGG